UACCCGCGGUCCAAGUCGCAGCCAUCUUUAUUGGGUAUAAAACAUCCGUAGCUUGCUGAAUAAGUUUCUUGUGAAAUUCUAACUCUUAAAGUUAGAGCGCGCAAGAAGUACUGUUUAGCUAGAGACCGGAAGACGCAAGAAGUAUGUUCAAAGUAGUGGUGAAAUACGUUAAUCUUGGGCAGACUCACAAUAGCGAAGGCAUCUUGCGAGGACGGUUCUGACAGUAAGGGAUGAAGGCUAGGGGCGCAAAAGG
rnacentral:rRNA from 1 species